rnacentral:sRNA from 1 species
GACCAAUUUAACAUAAUAAUGUUACGCGCAGAAAAUGUACAGAAAAUUUGUUUCCAAGUUUUCAUUUCAUCUGCUAGGAAAGUCCCCGAGAUUGGGGAAUUCUCAAUUUUGAGUGUUCCCUUUUUAGGAAAGCUAGUAACCUGAUAAGUUACGUAUCUUAUAGUAUCCUUGCGCGGGAUGUAAUUUUUUUUGCAACCCGUCCAAGGCAUGUGAAAUGUAGAGUUAAAUGUAACAUGUGCUACUACCGCUACCUUCGGUGGCAUAACAGAAUGGGGCUUAUAUAUAUGUUAAAUUCC